AGGGAAUUCGAGGAAUAGAGAGGAGCUAUUGUUUGCCGACCAGACUUCGCCAGCACUGUGGUGGCUGAAUUUCUUCUUCACAAAAGCACGGUGAAGUUUCUUUGGUUUUUUGUUUUUUAGUAAUUUUCAGCCCACCACCGCUAUCACCAUCGCCAUCGCUAUCGCCGUAUUGUCAUUAUCUGAAAUUGAAAUUUUGUGCUCCAAUUUUAAAUGCUUUUCAUGACCUUACUUUCUUGUUUGUGGGUUUAGUUCAGGUUAAUAAUGGUAGAUUAUUUCUUCGGUUCUCUUAAUUUUUGUGUUGCUGAAACAUUGGUUGUGAGUUCGGAUAGGUUAGAAAUACAUUUGAAAGAAAAAAGUUCCGUUUUCGCUAAUGCCCAAAAUGUAUUUGUAAAAAUGGCAAAGCAAACGAAUUUCCGAAACGUAUUUCCUAAUUGCUCAAGUUGGGAAGGUUUCUGGAUAUGCAUUUCAAAUUUAUGGAUUACUCUUAGUUGCAAAUUUUAUUUCAGCAUAAUUCGUAGAUUUUUUGCAUCUCUUUGGUUUCUGAAAAAAAGAAGCAUGAAAGUUUUACUUUGGUUGAAAUACUUCAGAACUCCUACAGAGUCUUUUCCUGUGGAGUAUUAAUGUUUUGGGAAUAAUUGCAGACUGAAGUUUGAAGGAACUAUGGAAAAGAAUGAGGUUUUGUUUUUGUUUCUUCAAUAACUCAUAAUUGAAGCCUAAGUGCUUAAUUUUGUAAAAUGUAUUGUGGCAUACUGGAUCUAAAUUGUCUAGUCAGUCUUUAGUCUUUGAUCGGAUCUAGUCAUAAUUUGACAUGAAUUAUUAUUAUGUAUUGAUUAGUUCAGGCAAAUUGAAAGUCAUACCAUUGCUUGAGUAUCGAAGAUGAGGCAUUACGGCUUAAGGACUAAGGAAGUGCUGUUGUUGAUCCUAAUGCAACGAAAUACUAUGUGAUUAACUCUUUACUCUCUUUCAAAUUAAUCUCUGAUUUUUCAGCAUGACAGGUAUGGAUCUCACGUCUCAGUGGCGCAUACUUGCUUUGUACGGCCUCUAAUUGAUUAUUUAGUGUCAUUGAAUGUUAUGCAAUUAAGCAAUUACUACCAGUGGACAAGGUUUGAAUUAUUUGUGGCUUUCUUGUGACUGGCGACAAUGAGCCUUGGUUAGAGAAGGCUUUCUCGUCUUUCAGGAGGAACUACGAGGUCUUCUUCCAUGUGCUUGUGUGGCAGGGUCAUCUUGGCUGUCUUGCUUCCACCAUGGGCUGGCAGUGAAUACCAAUAACAUCACUUUGCCUGAUGAUGGUGGGGGAGCAUUGAGUGGGAUUUAUUUGGGAUUAAGGGGCUCUUGCGAAAAUAUACUCAGUUAUGCUAUGGGAUUACU